ACUCAAAUGAAUUGACGGGGGCCCGCACAAGCGGUGGAGCAUGUGGUUCAAUUCGACGCAACGCGAAGAACCUUACCAGCCCUUGACUUGUGGCUCGCCGGCUCCAGAGACGGAGCCUUCGGUUCGGCCGGAGCCAACACAGGUGCUGCAUGGCUGUCGUCAGCUCGUGUCGUGAGAUGUUGGGUUAAGUCCCGCAACGAGCGCAACCCUCGUCUCCAGUUGCCAUCAGGUUAAGCUGGGCACUUUGGAGAAACUGCCGGUGACAAGCCGGAGGAAGGUGGGGAUGACGUCAAGUCCUCAUGGCCCUUACGGGCUGGGCUACACACGUGCUACAAUGGCGGUGACAGUGGGAUGCGAAGGGGCGACCCGGAGCCGAUCCUGAAAAGCCGUCUCAGUUCGGAUUGCACUCUGCAACUCGAGUGCAUGAAGGUGGAAUCGCUAGUAAUCGAGGAUCAGCAUGCCUCGGUGAAUACGUUCCCGGGCCUUGUACACACCGCCCGU
rnacentral:rRNA from 1 species